GACGAACGCUGGCGGCAUGCUUAACACAUGCAAGUGGUGCGACGAACCUUUACGGGGCAAAGCCGCGAACGGGUGAGUAACACGUGGGCAAUCUGCCCAGUAGACCGGAAUAACUCAAGGAAACCUGAGCUAAUACCGGAUGUGCCGUACUUCCAUAAGGAGGUCCGGUAAAGAGAGCUUCGGCUAUUCGCUAUUGGAGGAGCCUGCGGGGCAUUAGGUAGUUGGUGGGGUAAAGGCCUACCAAGCCUGCGAUGCCUAGCUGGUCUGAGAGGACGAUCAGCCACACUGGAACCGAGACACGGUCCAGACUCCUACGGGAGGCAGCAGUGGGGAAUCUUGCACAAUGGGCGACAGCCUGAUGCAGCAAUGCCGCGUGAGGGAAGACGGCCUUCGGGUUGUAAACCUCUUUCAGUUGGGAUGAAGGUUGGACGGUGAAUAGCCGCGCCAACUGACCGUACCUCCAGAAGAAGCUCCGGCUAACUACGUGCCAGCCGCCGCCGUAAAAC
rnacentral:rRNA from 1 species